rnacentral:snRNA from 1 species
AUUUUCCUACUCAUCAUUUCC